AGACGGUAGAAUGAACUGAUCUUAUUUGUAACGUUGACUCUGUCCUGCUGCACCUCCCAUCCCCCAUACGGCCCUUGACCCAGACUACCCCUCUCACCCGAACCCCCCUCCCCAUCAGUGUACCAACACACACUCAUAACAAAUGCACAGCUGCUGCUAAUGUUUUAUAUGAUAAUCAAAGUGAUUCAUGAGAACUGACAGUGUCUCAUGACAUUCUGGCUUCUUCUUCUUUUUCUUCUUCUUCAGCAGGAUUCACCUGUAGUGGCAGAGCUGGACGUGUCUGUAUGCGCAAGAAAUGACAAGAGUCCCAGCUUCUGGAAAGAUUUAAUCUCAUUUACUUUCCCUGUUCCAACAAACAGUCAGGGUGAUGUCAGGUGCAGACAAUGCUCCUAGAAUAACUGAUCAAGCAUUGAGACUAGUAUCCAUGAUGAGGUUUCACAAUCUGACGGGACACGUGGACGGUUGCUGCUUUAGAUGUGAGGACUGUAGAAUGUUUGACGCUAUGGUGGAAGCUGCUAAAAGAUUUGAAGUGAAACAAACCAGAGAUUACAUACACCCACACACACACACACACACACACACACACACACACACACACACACACACAUACUUAUACAAAGACAUGAAACUAAUACAACCAACAAGGCAGUAAUUUAAUUGAGUUUUCUCAAUUAGCGUCUUUCUGACUGUUUUGCCAAUUAGAUGUGAUUUUUCCUUUUUAGAUUUGAAUAAUGUCUGACAUGUUUAGAAUACUCUGCUGCAAAGGAAUCAGUAUUGUCUAUAUCAAACUAUAUCAUCCCUCUGCAAUACUAACUGCUACUUUUUCCUCUUCAUAAUAGCUCUCUGAUUGUUGGCCAGGCGUCUCUACCACCUGAGCUGCAGCCCACAACGUUUAACUGCUUCAAAUUGGUUUGCUUCUUUUGCAUUUACGCCUCCCCCUUUUAAAAUCUUUCACGAAAGCCAUUAUUCUUUUAGCGUCAUUUUAAAAUGUCAUUUGAGCCUUUUAUUCAGCAGUGCGCUUGACAUUUUCUGGUGCUGCCUAGCAACAGGCAAACACCUGCAGCUACCUCCAGCGUUCCAACUGAUGAGCUGAUGCUUUUUCCAGCCUGAAUACAGCGGGCCAUCUCACACAUACUAAAUGCCACACAUAUAAUCCUAACCGCUGUGGUACUUCUUCCUUACACAGUGAAUAUUAAUUAUUUAUUUGCUGUUGGAGUCCAUUUUUUAUGAACAGCUAUCUAGUUUUUCUUCCAGUUGGUGUUGGUUGAUUCACGACAUGUGCUUUGCUGUUUCAGUAACCGGUGUAACUGCAAAUAGUCCCUCUUUAAUGCAUACCAACCAGAUAUGUAGCACUAUAAAGGACAUGAAGGUCAUCCAGGUUGGCUAGUUGAACUGGGAUGACCUGCACCAGUCCCAACAACCAACGUAUCAUCGUGGACGAAACAUUGCUAGAGGGCUUCAAAGACUGGCACAUGUCUACAGAGUAACUGUCCAAGCUUCAGAAGCAGCAACAAACAGGCAAUCAGUCUGUCCAAUUCGCGUCAAUUUGUCUGUCCAUGGGAUGGUGUUAGUCAUUGUAAACAAAUUCCAAUUCGGUGGAAAGUGGAAUAUUAGACAUAGGGGAGAAGUAUGCACAAUUUACUGUGAGAAAAAGAUUAUCAUAUUUAUACAACAGUUUCAUUAAAGUAUAAUCACAUACAACACUUUUUAAAGAUGGAGAAAGUGUAUGGUGGCGGACGAGUCAAACAAACACAUGGCUUUCAUCUUGUGGUCGGCUGUAACUGUUUUGUUACAAUCGUUAAAUCAGUAUGUUUUACGUUUUAUUUUGAAACAGGAAAUGGCUUGUAACUUGUGACCUAUAAUCAGGAAAUGAAGGAAAAUGACCUUAUGGAUCCAUGUGGGUUUUGUAAUGGACCUCACAGCACAUGUACAUAAAGGCAGUGGUUAAAAACACAUUUCAUUUAUAUUCAUUAUGUCUUUUGUGUGUUUUGGUUUUACUCUGUCUUGCGUUAUUAAACCUGUGAACAACUGUCUUCAUAGUCGUGAUGUCAGCAAGGAGGUUGCCAAGGUGUAUCACAGCACAUAUACCGAGGGCAGCAUAUCGACAUUGACUUAUUUUCUCAUGUCAGUUGCUCCUCAGUCGGGGGAUAAAAUCUCUGGAGUCCCCUGAGGAGCCGUCCUCCCUCCUCUGGCUGUUCCUGUAAAACUUCCCUAAAGGCAGGCGUCUAGCAGGCAUCCUUACCAGAUGCCCUCAACACACCCCAACUGGCUCCUUUCUACGCAAAGGAGCAGCACUCCGAGCUUUUCAUGGAUGACUGAGCUUCUUACCCUCUCUAAGGGAGACACCAGCUCCCCUCCUGAGGAAACCCACUUUGGCCGCAUGUAUCCGUGACCUAGUUAUUUCGGUCAAGACCCAUCCUUCUUGACCCUCGGUGAAGACAGGAAAGAAGAUUGACCGGUAGACCGAGAGCUUUGCCCUACGGCUGAAAGCGAGUGCAACACCGCCCCCGCUGCUUCGGAUCUCCGGCCCAACUCUCACUCGCACGUCUUCCCCUCACUCACAAACAACUCUGAAGUACUUGAACUCCGUCACUUGGAGUAAGGACAGAUUUUUCUAUUAUUAGUGCUUAUAAGUCAGUAUGAGCUUGCUGAAAUGCUGUGGUGAUAUAAACAUCAACAUGUAAGUGUGUGCUGCCCAGCCAUAACAAAUAUAUAUAUAUUUUUUUACCUAAAUGACGACUCAGUUAAGUCAAAGAUGACCACUACUGCAGUUAGAGAGUUUCUUUGGGGGUUAACAUGUGACAAGUAGAGAGUUUAUUCUUUGGCAUUACUUUCAAUCAAAGUUAUAUUGACCCUUAGAGAAGUUCAAUAAAAAAAUGCAGGUUAUGAGUUAAGCUGAACCGGGCCUCAGGGAGUCUGAAGAGUUGCACAUAAAGUAGAUUUAUCACAGCUUCUUUCUGGUUCUCACAGGUUUUCACUCGCCUCUGAGAAACAUUUAUCUAAAAAUAGAAACUUAAUUAAAGCUUUUUAUCAAGGCUUUAACCACUUACUUGAUACUUGAAUCAAUCACACUGCAUUAAUUUGGCAGAUGUUUUGGUUCAAAGCAACUUGCAAUAAGUGCAUCCAACCUAUAGGCAAAAAAAAGCAUUUACUACAAACCAUGAACGUUAGCACACACAUCUUUUUGGUGACAAUUUGGCAGGAGGAUUAUAAGAAAAAAGAACAGGUUUUUGUUUAAGUAAAUUAAUCUGCCGUCCUUUUUGUGCCUGACUCAUUUUCAAGUGGAGAACUACAACUGAAUCAUUAUUAAAGAGGGGGAACUGGGGGAGGUACUGAAGCGCUGAUAUCCGACCUGCCUAAUCACCAUGGCUACCACUCACUUCACCUGCCGGUGUCCAUUAAAACACAGCAUGUUGAUUUAAAGGAGUUUAACACCCCAGUGUUGUCUGCUAACUUGUGUGUACAUUUAGAUGCAACAAAUACACAUUAUAUGUUUAAUGUCACGGCCAAGAUGGCCAGAGGAUAAAGACACAAACACUUUAUUUAGUAAUGUUGAUAAACUAUGACUUUUAGUCAACAUGUGUGUACAACAUGUUUCCAACUAAACAUGAUUUCAGCUCUGCCCUCUACCUCUACCAUCAUUUAAAAACACACUCCGGUCACAGAGAUGGAUACCAGUCAGCAAAAAACUUAGUUUGAAUUACAAACACCAGUCAGAUUGAUCAGCUCCCUCGUCCUUUAUGGUUGGAGGUACACAGUUCAGAGGAACAGAAGGACGGGCUCUGCUCUGCUGCAGCAGCAUGGCGGGACUCGGGCCUGGCUGCCACUGCUGGGUGCACCGCGGGACAACAGUGCUGUGUGGCGAACCGACGUGCUUUUGCUCCUGUCCUCUCUGUCCUCUGGUUGUUAGGUAAGCUGUUAGCUUUUGAUAUUUGGUGGCUAUGGCUCUUUCACUGCGUGCAGAUGUGUCCUUGGGAUUUUUAACCCCAUCAGCGUAUGAAUGGCCGUGUAUGUGAAUUCGAUUAGUGAUUAUUUAUGGGCGGGUGGCACCUUGCAUGAUGUCAUCUGCCAUUAGUGUCUUAAUGUCUAUGAAUAGUGGCAUGUACUAUGAAGUGCUUUGAGUGUUUGGAAGACGAGAAAGGUGCCGUUUACUGCUUUGUCGGGUAACAAGCAAGAUCUGCCGUUUUCAGAUCUGCCGUUUUCCAAUAUUGCCGUUACGUUUUACCCAACAGAUGUUGCUAAAUAUGUCAUAUAUAUGUUUCUAACCGAGCCACCUAUUGUGAUUGUAGUGUAGCAAACGGCUCCAUCUUUGCCUCAGAUUUGAAAACUGUGGUUGAAUGGCGUUUUAUAAAUACAAAAGAUCGCACACUUUGUGCUCAAGUAGUUCAGCUUGCCUGAAGCAUUCAUUUUUAAGCUUAUUUAAUUGGGAAGUGUGUAUGUAUCAAUGUGUAUUUAAGUGUGUGAGUACGAAUGUAACACACAUUUCUUUUUUUCUUCUAACGGUCUUUGCAAUCUUCUUUUUUGAUAUUUCAAUAAAAACACAUUUUAUUAUUUUCACUGUGCUUCUGAAAAGAGAAUUAAACAACCUGAUCAAAUCUCAAUCAUGAACUUCAA